GAGGGGUCCUGAUAGAGGCGAGCUAUUCAUAAAAACUCACAAGCACAAGGAUGGUACCCCAGUUUCUAUAGAGGCCGCGGCCAAAAUUUCGUAGAUAGAGGAGUUGAUGGCACAACAACCGCAAUCGACUCGAGGGUCCACACAGGGGACAAUUUCUUGGGAUCCAAAUGAUGUAUACUCCAAAGUUUUUGGCAAGGAAAAGCCUGGUCAUGUACGUGGUCUGGGAAAAGGUAUUCCACCUAAGUCAUCGGCAUGGACUUCGUCAUUGAUGCCAAAAGGUACCUGCAAUGAUCCUGCACAUUCGAAUUUCGAUGCAUUUAGAAAAGAAGUGGCCAUGGAUUUUGAGAAGGUAUUUCAGCAGUUGAAUGCGGCUGGCUUGUCGCAGAAUGGAGGUGUGUCGAAUGUUAACUUUGAUGGGGAUAAAGAUUCGGACCAUGAUGAUGAAGAAGAUGAUGAUGAGACGCAAGGUUAAUGAUUAGGAAUGGGAAUACAUGUUGGGGAAUAUUUUGCAGACAAAAUGCAGGGACUUGAGAUAUACACCUUCAAGAAUGGGGAGACACAGUCCAGAUUGAUUAAAUAUCUAACUAAAUACUAUUGUAGCUUGUUGAUGACUAUGGGAUUGAUCAUAUUAAUUUUUUGUAGCAGCUAGUAUAGUACUUGGUUGU